UACGAAGGGUGCAAACGUUGCUCGGAAUCAUUGGGCGUAAAGCGCACGUAGGCGGCGCUGCAAGUCGGACGUGAAAUCCCUCGGCUCAACCGAGGACGUGCAUCCGAAACUGCAGUGCUCGAGUAUGGAAGAGGGUCGCGGAAUUCUCGGUGUAGAGGUGAAAUUCGUAGAUAUCGGGAGGAACACCAGUGGCGAAGGCGGCGACCUGGGCCAAUACUGACGCUGAGGUGCGAAAGCGUGGGGAGCAAACAGGAUUAGAUACCCGU
rnacentral:rRNA from 1 species